UACGUAGGGUGCAAGCGUUAAUCGGAAUUACUGGGCGUAAAGCGUGCGCAGGCGGUUCGUUGUGUCCGAUGUGAAAGCCCCGGGCUUAACCUGGGAAUGGCAUUGGAAACUGGCGAGCUUGAGUGCGGCAGGAGGGGGGUGGAAUUCCGCGUGUAGCAGUGAAAUGCGUAGAGAUGCGGAGGAACACCGAUGGCGAAGGCAGCCCCCUGGGUCGACACUGACGCUCAGGCACGAAAGCGUGGGGAGCAAACAGG
rnacentral:rRNA from 1 species